GCAGUCGACGAACAUUUAGAACGGAUUACUUCGGUUUGAAGUUCUUUAUGACUGAGUGGCGGACGGGUGAGUAACGCGUGGGUAACCUGCCUUGUACUGGGGGAUAGCAGCUGGAAACGGCUGGUAAUACCGCAUAAGCGCACAAUGUUGCAUGACAUGGUGUGAAAAACUCCGGUGGUAUAAGAUGGACCCGCGUCUGAUUAGCUAGUUGGUGAGAUAACAGCCCACCAAGGCGACGAUCAGUAGCCGACCUGAGAGGGUGACCGGCCACAUUGGGACUGAGACACGGCCCAGACUCCUACGGGAGGCAGCAGUGGGGAAUAUUGCACAAUGGAGGAAACUCUGAUGCAGCGACGCCGCGUGAGUGAAGAAGUAAUUCGUUAUGUAAAGCUCUAUCAGCAGGGAAGAUAGUGACGGUACCUGACUAAGAAGCUCCGGCUAAAUACGUGCCAGCAGCCGCGGUAAUACGUAUGGAGCAAGCGUUAUCCGGAUUUACUGGGUGUAAAGGGAGUGUAGGUGGCCAUGCAAGUCAGAAGUGAAAAUCCGGGGCUCAACCCCGGAACUGCUUUUGAAACUGUAAGGCUGGAGUGCAGGAGGGGUGAGUGGAAUUCCUAGUGUAGCGGUGAAAUGCGUAGAUAUUAGGAGGAACACCAGUGGCGAAGGCGGCUCACUGGACUGUAACUGACAC
rnacentral:rRNA from 1 species